UACGUAGGUGGCAAGCGUUGUCCGGAUUUACUGGGCGUAAAGAGCGCGCAGGCGGUCAGAUAAGUCGAAUGUGAAAGCCCCCGGCUCAACUGGGGAGGGUCAUUCGAUACUGUUCGACUCGAAGGCAGGAGAGGGAAGCGGAAUUCCCGGUGUAGUGGUGAAAUGCGUAGAUAUCGGGAGGAACACCAGUGGCGAAGGCGGCUUCCUGGACCGACACUGACGCUGAGGCGCGAAAGCUAGGGGAGCAAACGGG
rnacentral:rRNA from 1 species